UUAUAGCAAAUCCAAUAAUUAAAUUAAAUUUCAAUAUCUUAAUUUUCUCAUUGAAAUUGUUACUGCUUUGAUGGCCCAGUAGGUAAGGGUGUUUAGAAGUGAAGGUUACAAAUCUCUGCCAGGAAUUACAAAGGAUAUUAUUAAAUAUUUUUACUUAAGCAACCAAAGUUCACUCACCAAAAAUAUUGUGUGUGUGUGUGUGUGUGUGUGUAAAAAAGGGGCUACAAAGCAGCCUUCAUAUAGUAACCAGAUCUCCCUCAAAUCUUUAUAGUAAGCAAUAAUUGAAAUAAAUUUAAAUAUCUUAAUUUUCUCUUUAGCAUUGUUGCUCCUUUGGUGGCACAGUAGGUAAGGGUGUUUAGAAGUAAUAAC